rnacentral:rRNA from 1 species
UACGAAGGGGGCUAGCGUUGCUCGGAAUCACUGGGCGUAAAGCGCACGUAGGCGGAUCUUUAAGUCAGAGGUGAAAUCCUGGAGCUCAACUCCAGAACUGCCUUUGAUACUGAGGAUCUUGAGUACGGGAGAGGUGAGUGGAACUGCGAGUGUAGAGGUGAAAUUCGUAGAUAUUCGCAAGAACACCAGUGGCGAAGGCGGCUCACUGGCCCGUUACUGACGCUGAGGCACGAAAGCGUGGGGAGCAAACAGG